CCUGCGUAACUCGGCACGAGAAUAGCAUAGGCGGCAGCGGGCGGCGCGUCGUGAGGGGAGGUGGCGGGACAGAGGCUCCCUCACGGCUCCGCCGGGCCGAGCCCUCAGGCAGUCGGGAUGAGGAGCCCGCGGUGAGCACUGCCCCGGUGCUGGGGCCUUCGGUAGCGCUGAGCUGAUGCCUGCACCCUCCUACAUGCAGUUUCCACAUCGAUGCAAUGGAUGCUGCUGAGGAGGAACCACCUCAGUUUGGUCUUUGUAAACUGCUGCUGCUCAGCCUGCAUGGACAGUUCUGGCAGUGCACUUGAAUAAGGCUGCAAAGUUUUUCUUUUAGCUCAGUCCUUGAGAGGUCCUGCAGAUGCCACUGACAUUCUCCUGGAAGAACCCUCCAUCCUCUUCCUGGUCAGGAAAGGGACACAACUGGGCCCUGGAAGAAUGACUGGAUGGAGGGUGAAGGUGCUGAGAGUGGAGUUGUUCUGUGUUUGAGAGAAAAUGUGGAUGAACAUCCCUUACCCCUUGAUGAUGGAGCACUGUGGUGUCCCUGCCUGCCCUUCACACCAAAUGGGCUCAAAAGACGAGCAUGCAUCUGCCUGACAGCUUUCAGAGCAGGCCAUCCCUGCCAGCCAAAGCAGAUUCUCUGUGCCUGCUUCCAAGCAGCACAAGCUGAAACAACUGGUGGCAGAGUGGGGUGUCUCUCCAGUCCUAGCCAUGAAGAGAGGAGAUGAAACAUCCUCCUGCUCACAGCACAGGGAAGAGGCUGGAGCUGGGCUGCUGUCUCCACACCUGUAGAACUGUGGAGAAAUGGGAAUUCUUUGUGUUUCAUUGGCUUCUCUGAGGAAAACAGGGACCAUGAGAUGAGCCAGAGCCUCGGGCUCGGAGAAUAAAUCCCAGCAGAGCCGCAGUACAGCCGCUGUUCAGGAGGAGAUCCGGGAUGUUAAAGAAGCAUAAAUACAUAUUCAAAUACACGUUUAAAAGGAUGGCACCCUCGUGUUUAUCAGGGGAAAGGACACUUGGAGCACCUGUACCGAAAGGGAGAAGGUGAAGAAGCCUGUGAGCAUUCCCUGCCUCCUCUGAUCUUAUGCAGAUUCUAAACACAAGUCUGAACGCAAGCUCGAUGGCAACUCUCUGCUCCGGCUGCCAGGGCUGCAGCUCCAGCCGCUCCUCUCCGUCCUCCACCUUCUUUUUCCAAAGUAACAAAGCCAUUGGAUUUCCUCCCACCCCUUCCCUGCGCCUCCCCUCCCCCUCGCUGGCACCGGGGUUAUUUAUACAGAAUGUGGAAACAAUUUGCAGGAAAGUGAACAAUGUAAGCGGGAGCGAGGGAAGGGAGGCGAGUUUGCAGAGCACGCUGAGAGCCCCAGCGGUGGAACGCUGCUUUUGGGGGAGCACGGGGAGCAGGAUGUUUUCCUUUCUUCCUUCUCCCCUCUCCCACCAUCUCCCUGAGCUCCUUCCAUCCUGCUGGAGUCGAGGCCAAACCAGAGCAACGAGAUCUGAGUGAGUUUUGGAGGCUGUUCGGGUUGGAUCCCGCCCUGCACUGCAGCUCGGUGAGGCGGUAUCUGUGUGCUUAAUCCCCUCAGAGGUUCUGCUCUCGCAUCAUCCCUGCUCCUGGAUUAGCAUUAAUGAACAGCAUGUGUGCUCCAGAGUCCUGCUCCAGGCCCUGGAGCUGCAGCACUGCCUGGUGUUACACACAGCUAUUCCCAGGAACAGUUCGGCUCCAAGAGGACAUUUCUGGGAGUGAACGAGGCAGGAACUUCUUGCAAAGUCUGAUUUCAGUCUUUCUGCCCUCACCUGCUCAGCACUGCAUUUCCAGGGCAUCCCAGCACCUUGCUGGCUCCAUUGGGAGUGUGUCUGUAAACCCAGCAGUUUCCCUGAGUGCUCUGGGCUGGGGAAGCUGAACCAGCACUCACUCAGCACCUCUGAGCACUUCUGGGCUCUUCAGACCUUGCUCUGCACGGUGAAGUCCUCAAAGAGAGAUAAUCCAAACACACACAUCCUUUAGGAAAGGGCCAUAGGCACUGCAGAUGGAAGGGAAUGUUGUCCUGGUUCCAGGUUGGAGCAGAGCAGCUGCCCUGGCCACGGUGGGAGCCUCCUGCCCUCCAGGGAAUCUCCUUUCCCAACAGCCUCCAGCCCUGGGACGGGGUCUGUGCAUUGUGCUGAGCUGGUAGGGCAGGGCCAGGGAGCUGCCAAGUGGGACAGUGUGUUCCUCCCUAGAGCAGGCAGAUUCCUGGCUGAGAGCUGGUGCAGCUGAUCCACUGUGCUCCAGUGGCACAGAGGGACAGUCAGAAGGAACCUCUGGUGGGCUUUUCCUUCCUGAGAAUCCAUCCUCUCCACUUCCCAGUUCUUCCUGCUCCUUCUCAGCCAUUGUCCACACACACACAGUGUGAACUUCCCCUGGAUGUUUGCUCUGGAACCAGCCAUGUCUGCUCUCCCGUGUGCAAGGGCAGGUGGGUGUGCACAGGCUGGGCCUCCCAGAGCUCAGGGCACAGCAGAGCCUGUUCCAAAUGCUGCUCCCUUUAGCCAGUCCUUGCCUGAGUUCCCAGCUCCAGGAGUAAAGCCCAGGAAGGGCUGGAGCACAGACACUUUGGCCACUGAUGUUCUCUGGUCAGGGCAGUUCAAGCUCUUUGCGUUCUCCUGAUUCUCACUGACUCUGAGAAGGGUCCAGGAAAACAAUUUCUGGUUUCCCUUCCAAUCCAGGCACCAGCAUGGACUGGGAGCAGACAGAACACAGGCCCAGCAGAGCUGGGGAUCACUGGUUCCCACUGCAGCCACGCCGUGUGCAGGAGCACAGCAUGAGCCACAGCCUGGCUGCUUCCCAUCCCUGCUCCUGGCAGGAGCCCGCUGGUGUCUGAGCACCUGCCCAGGCUUGUUCCUCACUGUGCUUCCCUGCUGGCAAAGGCAGGGAUAGGAGAGAGCUUGAAUCCAUCAGCCUCUGGAGAGAGCACCCCUCGUGCAGGCUCGGGCUCUGCUGCUCACAGGGGCCUCUGGGCAGACACAGCCAUCUCCAGUCUCUCCCUGACUCCCAAGGGUCUCCCCUCUUCUCCUGGAGAGAUGCAGCCUUGAGUUUCACUGUAUGGAGAGCUCUCAACUCACUUUUGACAGGUUUGGGCAAAGUGGAGGCUUGAAGCUCCUACAGAGACUAAACUGCAGAGACCAGAGGGACCAAGGUAAUUUCAGGGCAACAGCCAUUGGAGCACUUGUGCUUUUUCCCUUCUGGUUCUAAAUGUUCAAAUUCUCACCAAAACAUAAGACAAACUCUCCUUGGAAUGACUGUGCUGCUGAAAACAUUUGGAAUUUCCUCUUUCAUCUGGUUCUUUCUUCUUUUUUUUAAAUUAUUUUGAGGGUUCUUUAGAUGAGAACAGAUUUGCAUUCCUCUCUCCCUGCUGCUCACUUCCCACCUGAAAUCUUCGGCUGCUCUUUGCAGUUCCCGACACAAUGGUGAGCGAAAUCCUGAACAGAGCAUUCAAACUUGAGGUGAGGAAAAGCAACAGCAGCAGAUGGGCUUGUAAACAGCAGAGACCUGGCUCAGGCACAGAGGUCCUGGUGGAGCAGGAAGGAGCAGGAGGGUUGGUAAACACAGAGCAAUUUCCAUUUUCUGGGCUGAAAUGUGGGGAUCUGGGGAGGGGAGGGCGGUGGAGGAACAGCGGCUCUCGCGUUCUGGCACAGUCAGCUCUUCCCAGCAGAACCUGUUCCUGUCAGAACUUGCAGCAAAUGGGAGAAGAUGGGAAAGUGGGGGACGUUUUCCAGCAUCAGGGAAUUUGUGGGUGAUGAAAACAAUUUUUCCAGCAGCCCUUUUGUACUAGUCUUGGUUUCUAAAGAGGUAUCCUGCUGUUUUCUUCCCUUACCUUGAAUUCCUUCUGAAAAUCAGUCAGCAGAGUUGGGAGUAACUUCACCGAUACAAAAUUCCCAAAAGUUACCUGCAAGUUUGCAGCAGGACGGAGGAAAAAGAAACCCAGAGCAGAGUCCCCACAGGUGGAAGACGAAAGCAGAAUAAGGAGGCUCAGUUCCAUGGUUUAUUGAACCCAGAGGGAUUCCUACAAACCACAUGGCAUCAGGUGUCAAAGAAAUGAGGAAUGAAAACCAACGUGGAACAAGGGAGAAGCCCAAAACUCCCACAGCCCAGUGAGGCUCCAGGAAGCUUGGAGAGGCUUUAACAGCCCCUUAAUGUGAGUGGGCUGGCCAUGAGCAGCCUCUCCACCUUGUUCUGUCAGGAGAAAUCCUGAGUCAUGGCAUGGGUGUUCUUGCCUUGGACAGGGAGAAUCUGCACGUCCUGUGGAGUCCAGGAGUCACAGAAACUGAGACUGAUGAAAGAUGGUUCUGGGCUGGGACUCUGGAGAGGUUUGUGCUUGAUCCAGGGUUGAAGGGCUGUUGUUUCUGUUUUUCUUGGGGAUUGAGUGGGGAGAGGUUACUGAGUCCCUGAACCUUAAUGUAACAUGAUUAGAAUCUGGAACAGACUCCAAAACAGACAUUUAGGGACUACUAAAUGUACAAAGCAGCUUGGAUAUCUGUCACCAGAGUUUAUCCAGUUCUGGAAAAAGCCUCUGAAAUGGGCAGUGCUUUAACAAAGUGCAGAUGUCUGGGGACUCAAAAUGCAAGGAAAAAUUAUGAGGAGGAAGAGAUAACACUUUCUCCAUUUCUUAGAGAGGAAGAAAAUGCCAGAAAGUUAUUAAUUUUAUUCCCAGGACUGUGGUAGCUGGACAAGGAUCCAAGGUUAAGGUGAUCCCCAUGACCUGACACUUGCAGAACAAGUGGGCUCCCUGCAUCCUGACACGAGGAGUUCUAGGGAGAUCUGUAAUCCCCAGUAAUAACCUCACAGGUUAAUUGGUGUCUGGAAAUGAGUUUAUUAGGUAGGUGGGCUAGAGGGGGUUUAAUUACGUGUUUAGAUCAGCGUUGCUUCAAGCAUUAAUUUUGCCUGGGAAAGGAAGGUGUAAUGUCAGGAGCAACACUUUCACACUGCUUAGAUUGAGCCAGGGGGGACUGGAGAGAGCCCCUGGGCUGUUGAGGAGGAUGGGAAUGAGCUCUGAGUUAAAGCAUCUCUUUGUUGUUUUGGGCCAAAAUUCGUGUAAGGCCCAGUUCCCUGAGAAUGGCACUCAGCAGUUUUUGGACAGUCAGGCUGUCAGAAGGAAUCCCUCUGAAAUACACAUUAGAUUUCUUUUUUUGGGUUUUAUUUCUCUUUUCUGCUUUGUGUCAUAUUCUCCUCAUGGCUUUCCAGAGCAGAGUUACUCUUCCACUUGUUCCCUUUUGCCUCCUGCUGAGUCAAUUCCUUUCUUUUCCAACAUUAUUUGUACUGUAGUCACUCCCAGAAUCUGGGAAAUCAUCCUCAGAAGUCUCCCCAUCUCCUGAGCUUACUGCCAACUCUCCCACUAAAGCUUUGAAUUCUUUGUUAUAAAGAAGAAUAAAAGGCCAGCAAAGUGCACCUCGACACCCAUUCAGGUGCCAUUACCCUGUAAUUCUUUAAAAACUCCGUGUGCAUUUAUAGUCACUGGGAAGUGCUGGACUGGGAAGCCUCAGGACUAAAUUGGUGUUAGCACAUGAAAGAGAGCCAGUCCUGCUUGGGCAGCAGGCUCUGGGCAGCUUUGGGCACCAGCUUGCCUGGUGGGCUUGGGACAAUAAUUCCCUGCCUGUGCCCCUGCUGGCAGUGCCCAGCUCCAGCUGUGCCUGCUGGGAUGAGGACACAGCCUGUCCCCACCCCUGGAGCUGCAGCAGAGCCCGAGCUGAGCAGGGAUCACAAACAGGGAUGAGAGGAAUGCCCAGGCAGCAGCACAAGGCUCCCAGACACGCUGCCCUGUGAGCAUCCUGGAACCCUGGGUGCUGCAAACUGGCUGGUUCCCAGCCCUUGGCUUCUCUCUGCCAGCCAGCAAAGGGUUCAGCACUUCCAAAUGCAGCAGAGAGGUGAACUGGCAGCUUCCCAGUUCCACUGGGAAAUGGGAAAUCACCAAACUCACUCUGCAAACUCAAGCUGAGCCUGAUCGGACCCUCCAUCCUGCCUGCAGCUGUGCCACCUCCCCACAGGGGAAAAGCCCCUUGUGUUUCUGAGCCAUCCCAUCCCAUCCCAUCCCAUCCCAUCCCAUCCCAUCCCAUCCCAUCCCAUCCCACCCCAUCCCAUCCCAUCCCACUCUGCUCCAGCCUGCUCCAGUUUGCCAGCAGAGAAAUCAAUUUUCUCCUCCCUUGUUUGAGGAGCUGCAGACACAUCCCUUGGCUUUCCCUCUUCUCUGCAGGCUUUUCCAGAGCCCUUUCCUCCCGUUGUUUGCUCGUUCCCUGCACUCCAUCCCAUCUUUUGCCUCCCUCCCUGCUUGGAUACAGCAUCUCGCUGGUCCUGCCUCACACUCUGAGCAGGGGUAUUAGAUGGAUUCCCCAUAGAGUAUAAAUUGAAUGGAGAGAAGUGGCUGGUUUCCCAGCAAUAAUUUAUCUGAUUAAAAAAAUACUCCCCAAACUCCCCCUCCUCUGCCAGUCCUACACCCCCUCCAAAAAGCACCACUGGCAUCAGGGCUGCUGUUUGAACUGUGUGAUUCCAAUUGCUGGAAGAGGGAUUUAGAUGGGAAAAAUAACUGGCAAAGGAUGGUUCUCAGGGGAUUUUCAGUGCUGAAAUUUGGCACCUGGGUUGUUGUGUGGGGAAGGCAGAGAGUAAAUAACUGUGAGUCAGGUACCUGGGUGAUUUGUACCUUUGCCCCCACGUGCCCAGCGCCGGAUGCACACACGGUGCUCCCACACGUGUCUGCCCAGCACACACCCUGCACAGCAAGCUGCUCCUGCUGCUCCCUCUCUCUCUUUUCUUCUCUUACCUCGGGGCUGGCUCCAAAUAAAAGGAGGAAUCUGCCUCACAAAGGGCAUGUCACCCAAAAGAAGGAAUCUGCCUCACAAAGUGCAUGUCACCUAAAAGAAGGAAUGUGCCUCACAAAGGGCAUAUCACCCAAAAGAAGGAAACUGCCUCACAAAGGGCAUGUCACCCAAAAGAAGGAAUCUGCCUCACAAAGUGCCUGUUGCCUUGUUUGUUACUUCCAUGGGCUUCGUUCCUUCCAAACCAUUUUCUUCUCUGACAUUCCUGUUGUAAUUAUGGGAUGGAAGAGCCACCCCAAGGCCCCUCUCGGGCAGUGGGUUUGGCUGGUGCCUGUUCCUGUGGGGUGCCAGGCAGGUAUUUGCAGGUAUUUACACCCCAGAGCACCCGGAUUUACAGCAGGGGCUCCCGGUGCUGUCAGGGCAGCGCUGCUGCUGCCACCUGAGUGUUGCAAACCUUCCCAGGGCUGCUGGACCUCGCUCUGCUCACGGCUCAUUGUGGCCGCUGGGUGGAACGGGAACGGGCCCUGCUGGAGCUUUUCAGCCCGCAGCACCCUCAGGCCAGCGGCCAGGGCUCAGGUUUCCUGCGUUUGACAGGAGGGCUGCUCAGAUGAAACCUCUCUCUGCUCCUUCUGGAGGAUUUACACUGCCACAAGUCCUCAUUUUUUCCAGAUGUUUUACCUAAUAAAUCAAGGAGUCUCAUCAGAGGAUUGGGAUCCAAAAGCUGUUACCAUGACUUCAAAGGCACAGGCUGGAGUGGAAAGAAGUGGUGCAGACAUUUUAUACCACUCUGUGUGAUCAUGAAAAUACACUCUGCUCCCAGGAUUUUUUUGCUGUGGAUACAAGAACUCCAGGCAUGAUUAAAUAAAAUGGUGCUGUGCUCCCUCAGCCAACCUUUGCUGCAAAUGGAGCUGCAGGAGCCUCAGGCUGUGGGGCUGGCAGGAACCAGGCUGGGGCUGGUCCUGAGAGGGGCUGAGCUCUGCCAGCCCCUGUCCAAAAUCCUGCAGCAUUAACUCAGGGCUGAACUCACUCCAUCUUUUCAGAUCAAUAUUCAACUGCAUAUUUUCUCCCAGUGCUGGUUUAGGCAAUUCCCACAUAAAGGAAUCAGAUGUUCAUCUUCUUCAGAUGUUGGGAGAGAAAAAGAUAAAAAGAGUUACAUGGCUGUAAAAUGUGAUUGUGACUAUUCAGACCAGUUUGUUCCUUGAUCAAGAAUGUAACAUUUUUAUUUUUUUUCACUGUAGUGAAGGCUUUUUACAGUGUCUACAUGGUGUCAUUUUCUUUUGCUGUUCCAUUUCUAAAGAUAACUGUGUUUGGAGAAGCUGUUACGUGUUUCUGUCACUCCACAGCACAGGGUGCUGCAGGAGACAGAAUGAAGAAAAGCAGCUGAAGAAAGGAAAGCUGAUCCUGUGGCUUGUGCUGCCUCAGGAUUCUGGGAUGCAAAUAAGUUGUCACUUAACAACAGUGGGAACUGUAGCACUUGGAGUUCUGGGGAAAUCCUGUGCACCCCCAGUAGGCACUGUAGUUGUGUAAAACACACUUAGGACAUUAAUUCAGUGUAUUUUGUCUGUUUUAUGUGUCCCAGGCAGUGGGGAGCAAGAGGGCAUUUGGUUCUGCAGGAUGUUUAACCACAUCUGAAAGCCUCACCAUGGAAGUUCAGGAAGAGGUGAUGUCCCACUGCAGCCAGGUGGAAAGGGAGCACCAGGUGCAGAUCUCCUGUGUUCUAAUGUAUGUUCAGACCGAAAAAUAACCUCAUCUAAGUACUAAUAUUCAAAUAACAGUCACUACAAAUCCAUUUGCUCCUGCCACAGACUUCAGAAAAAUUGCUGCUUGUCUUCCCUCCCCCACGAGGCUGAGUCCCAGCACCCCAGAUUGUCGUGACUGCCUGGGAUUGGUGACAUCUCCAGUGAAAUGUGUUGGAGCAUCAAAACAGAGUGGGAGAAGCACAGCCUGGCUCUGGGAGCCAAAAAUAGCAAAUCAGGGCUGCACCCUGCUAUUGCUCUCUGGGAAGGGACCUCCAUGCUCUCCUCUGGCAGCUGCAUCACCAAGGCCUUGUCCAGAGUUUUGCAGCAUUCCCAGGUGCUGCAGCACAACCUUUCCUGGCAGGAAGGUGAUUUGGGAAGCACCAUGAUCACAGUGUACAGGUCCUGUGGCAAAAGAAUCUGCCAGGGCUCCAGGCAUCCUUCUGUGGCACACUAUGAGCUUGGGAUGGAAGCCCUUUGUAAACCAGGUGUGUUGUGAAAAGUUGAAUUUUACAACUGUUCCAGUUUUUCCCUUUGUCAGAUAAUGUGGUAAAAAUGAAGUCCAAUAUUUUCUCCAUGAAAAAUCCAUUUUAUUUAUAGGAAAUUCCUUCAUAGCAUUUGAAAGGGUGGUGAGGUUUGUCUGAGCAUUCCAGCUGGAGGAACCAAAGCCAAAACUGUGACUUUAAAGGGCUGUCUGAGAGUGCAUGAACAAGAUUAUUACAGCAAACAGGACUCUGUCCCUGUCCCAACCUAUUGUCCAAUGUCUUUAUUCCUUCCUGUUUCUGUGGUUCAUUGUCCCUGUCUUCACUAUAUCACAGCACUGACUGAUUUGAAUUGUUGAAUUAGUUUUGAAUUGUUGAAUUAAUGGACUGAGGUAAUUUUGCUCUUAUUUACUCUUCCAUCACAAGGUUCUGAUAGCACUCUGUGCCUCCAGUUCUGCCAUUUAAAGCAGAGGGACACUUCAGCCACCAUGUCCAAGCAAUGACUCCUGGAAUCAUUGCUUCUGUAUAUUCAGUUUAAACACCUGAAAUCACAGUCUGAGAUACAGAGCAAAAGGAAGGACACUGUGGGAGUUGUGGGUGUUGACACACAAGCCAAGUCUGUUUGGUGUCAGGUUUUAUGUGUGGACUUGCUCAUGUAACUCUGGCUGAUCUGUUUGUAUCUCUCACAGAUAAUGAGGCCUUUUAUUUCCAGUUCCAGGAAACACAUGUGAUUCCAGCUGUAUGACCCAGCACCUCAGCUGACCCUUUCAGGUGUCACACAGAAAGGGCCGGGCUGUGCUGCUGCUGGUUCCUGCCAUGGGCAGAGGUGAGGUUUGUGAGGUGUGCUGGGAUCCCCAGGAGUGAUGGGCUGUGUUUUCCAGGCAUCCUCUGCUGAUGGUCUAAGGUUAUUUCUUUGAUUUCCCAAGCCCAGAGGCAAAUGACCAUUUCUGUGUGCUGAGCAUCAAUUCUUUCCCUUUUGUUCUUCUCCUUUCUCCACAGUUUUCCUCUCACUUUGAAUUCUCUCAGUCUCACUUCCCCUGGCACAGGAGAAAAGAUGGUGGUGUUUACAGAGCAGGAGCACUGGGACUCAGGAGAUGUGAAAGGUGGCCCUGCUGCUCUGCCUCCAACAGCUCUCCAUGGUUCUGACCUCCUGUCAGGAUAACCUGCACUAAAACCCCUCUGCCUGUUCCUGUGUGAUCCUACAGUGUCUAACACAACCUCAGGGAAGACCUUUAGGCACUCCCAUUAUAUGAAUGAGAACAAGAUUGUUGGUGUCAGUAAUUAACAUUCUUGUGGGAUUGUUGGAAAAGCUUUGGGAUAAACACCACCUGGAAUCCUUGCCUGGCUUAUGUGGUUUUUAAGAAGCAGAGGAGACUGAUCUUGCUCACACGAGAGGGCCUGGACCAUCUGUCUCCUCUCUUACUGGAUGUGCAGAGUCUGUCAGGGCAAAGAUGAGUUGUUGCAGCUCAGGGAGAAGUGGGACAUGGAAAAGUGAGGGGAUGGUCAGUGUGUCCCCAGUAAUGAUCUCAUCUGAGAGCAAGGACUGAUGACAACCACCAAAACAGGAAAACAGUCCCUGUGAGCACCUGUGGCACAGUGUCAGGCCAUGACAGGCUUCCAGAGAUGAAAUCUCACCCUACUGACAUGGAUGACAAAAAUCCCAUAGACUGCAGUAACAUCAGCCUCUCCCCUUAGGUGUAAUCUGCAUUUCUCUCCUUCUGGAUGCCCAGAGACCCAUAUCCCACAUCAUUAUGCACUUCCUGAUAACACAUUUCCUUUUCUUUCAAAUUGUGGAUUGGAUUCCAGUAAGCCCUGCCUUUUGGAUUCUAGGUUCUCUCCAUCUACCUCUGAAAACCCUAAAUAAACAAACAUUGGAUCAGCAGCUCCCUUGCUCAGCAGGGGAAGCCUUUAAGUGCAUUUUACACCAACUGCCCUGUUUGUGUUUCAGACUCUGUCAACCUGGCACUCAAGGAGCUCCACCUUCCUCUCAGCCUUCUCAGGGAACUCACCUCAGUGAUUGGAAGGUCUGCCUCCAUUAUGGCCCUCCCUGAUUCCAGUGAGGAGCUGGAACUCCUCAUGACCUCAGGCAUGACAGAAGUACAUGCUGGGGAUGGAGGGUUUCUGGCAUAUGACCUGCUAACCUAGAAUUUGCUUGGCAAAGUCCAGAGGAUGACUUUUAACCUCAGAGCAGUUUGCAAAACCACAUCUGUGAGCAAUAAAUGUAAAAAAUAAAUGAAAAAAUAAAUCUAGCUCCUAUUGAAGGAUGAAAGACAGCACACCUUGCUAGGCACUGCUGCUGGAAUCAGGAUGGAGAUUGGGAAUAAUUGGACAGGCCAUGUGCCAGAUGUUGUCCAUGAAUGGAGCCAAUGCCUCACACGAGGGAGGCAGCACAGCAGGUUAAACUGAAGGUAUCUCACAGCUCUAAGUCUUAAACUUAACGAGCCACGUCUUUAUUUGUGCUGCAGCCCCUUCUUAUCCCAAAUUGCCUUUACCAGCUGCCAGAGGAUGCCUGGUAACAGCAAAUUCUCUGGAUAACAAUAAAUUGGUGUAACGAUUGAGUGUCACCUCACAUCCUGCUAAGCAAUAGAGAAAUCACGAUGAGAAAAAUAGGCACGAGCAGAGUGGCACUGAACAGUGCAAUCCUAAUUCCAUCACCCUUCUUGUGGGCCACAGAUAACCCAGAGCAAUUUGCAGCCGCUCUGAAGCGGCUCCAAGUCUCAGCAGGAGUCGGGAAAGCUCCGAGCAGCCUCGGGACUGAGGAGUCGCACAGAUCAGGGGAGUUGUUGUUCCAUAACCUUGCCUCUGCACCAAAACCAGGGGGCUGCUUUGGAAUGGGAAGCACUCCAAGCAAAACACGAAAUUUUAAUCACUGAAAUGAGGGUCCUCCUCUGGCUCCCUCUCUGGAGAAUAGUCUGUCUCUGGUGAUCGUGCACAGACUCCCAAAGAAGGGAAAUUUUGGAUUUAAAUCUCGACGUCAGCGUGUGAAUGACAGCGUUAAAUCUUGGCUGUAAGGCUGAGAUAUCUCCAAGAGGAGAAAAACACUUUUUCCACUUAAGUGGCUGAGGUAGAGGAGGUAAAUAUAUUGUCUCCCACUAUUAAAGGGCGAGGAAAUCAUUUAUGCAUGUGUGUUACACCUUUGCACCUAACAGUGGAGUUCUUUUUUAAAUUCAAGAGUCUAAAAGUUUAGAAAUACCAACAUUAAGGUGGCCUAUGCAACUGUAAUUUGUGCCUUCCAUGCAUUUGCAUUAUGAUACAGUAUUUAAUUAUAAUUAGAUCACACGCUGUUCUUUCAACAGGUUUCUGGCCUCACUCAUUGUACAGAAUAGACUGUGCUCACUAAGUAAUAAUUUUAUUUUCUCCUUGCUGUUCACUGUGUGGCCUGUGCUUUAUUUACAGCAGACUAUUCAAAUAUUGUUCUGAAGACAGAUUUAUUCAUUUCCUCCCGAGCUUUUCCAUGGGACUCAUCACUAUGGUAUCCAAGUGCUUCACAAACUCUAAUUCAUUUUCUCAACACUGUAGCGAGAACUGGUGUUGCCCUUAUUUUACAGGCGAGGAACUUGGGUGUACAGACAGAAUAGUAAAAAAUAUCUUUUCAUUUCAGAGAUCCAAUUAGAAAUACUCAAUGGCCUGAUUUUGUCAGAAAAUAGAACAUGGCCAGGCAUCUAAUUGAGUCAGAAGUUGUAGAAAUUCUCAGUUAUUGCAGAUUUAUCUGCUAGACUUCUUCAUUUCUGCAAGUCAGGCUUCAAAAUGUAAGCCCAGGCACCUGGGCAGUGCUGACUGCACAAUCAGUGCAGCGCUGGGCAGGUCUGUUUAGGGAGGUCUGUGCUUUGCAACCCACAGAUUCCAGAGGCUAAAAAUCCUUUCUGGGAGCAGCACUCACCUGCCCCACCCACAGUGCUGUGCCUGCUUGCCCAGCAGUUCCUCACAAGGUGCAUAAAAUACCCACAUCUGAUUUUUGCAGUAAAUGAGGUGGAAGUUGUUGGGGCACUUGCCUGGGUUCCCUGACCUUGGUUCAGUGUCUGAGCCUGGCAUAUCCUGGCGCACUGGUUGCCUUUAUCCUGGUGUUUGAUAACUGGGGAGUGUGUUACAGUGCAGCCUGAGUACUGUUGCUUUAUUGAAUAUGUGCUUCUUUCCCAUGUAGAGAUAACCCCAGUAAUGUAAUCCUGAGCUGACAUCGAUGCAGGCCAUCAGCAAUGUGGAAAUUUCCCUCUGUGAUGAGGGAUGCCAUGGCUGGCACAAGCUGCAGCACUCCAGGGGGGUGAGGUACAUUGUCAGUGUUUCCAGGUGGUCUGCAGUCCCAUUCCCAAAUCCUCACCUUUCUGCUCUGCCUCCCUGCCCCAGUUUCUGUCAUUCCCAUUACUACAUCACUAUCCCAGUGAAUUCCCUCUUCCCACAGGCCCUGUUGCAUCCCACACCCAGCCUCAGGGUCCUUUUCCAGCUCUUCCAUCUGAUCCCCUCUGCCCAGCAAGCUCUCCCUCAAACCCUGUCCAGAGCACAGGGACAGCUCCCAGUCCUGCCAGGCUGCAUGUCCUCCUCCCAGCAAUUUCUCCCAUUUCCACUCUGGUUUAAAGCCUUCUCCCAGCCUGCCUUCCAGACUCCUUCUUAGGAGCUUUGCUUUAUCCCUCCCUCCAGGCAGACCUGUUUUUCCUUCUGGCUGCUCAUUCCCUUUCACCACCCUGGAGAACCUGUCUCUCUCCAGAGCCUCUGUGCCUGCCAACUUACCUGUCCCAGCCCCAGUUCCUGUCCCCACUGUGUGUUUUUCAAGGAGCUUCCUGCUCUGUGUUUCCCAAGAAGACUGGAAGGACAGGUCUGCCCUUCCUACCUGCAGACAUGGCAUGGUCCAGAGCAGCCAGGAACUGGAGCUGCAGGUCCAGCCCUGAUCCCACAGCCCUGGGCUGUGCUGAGGAUGGAGCUGCUGGGGAGUGGGAGCACCAGGAAGCUCCUGCCAAGAACCAGCAGGAUUUCAGGAGGGUUUUCAUAGCAGGGUUUGAGGCAGCACCUCUGACAAAGUGACCACUCUCAUUUUCAGGCUAGAAAAUCCCUGACAGAAGGAACAGAAGGAGAAAUGUUUAUAAUUUAACCCAAGGUAUGAACUUCAGAUGCCUAAAUUUCAGCACAGUGGUUAGUCUGGCCCUAUUAAAUGCGACUGAGGGCAGGAUUUUAUGAUGGGAAUUGCUAACCAGCUUUAAUAGGAGUUACACUACCAGUCCUGCCUUUUAAUCACCGCUUCCAUUUUCAGGAUAAAUUGCAGCUGGUUGCUGGUAAUCCUUGUGGCAUAUCAGAUAGCAGCAUAGCUCGGCAAGGGUAAGCUGGAGAAACCCAAACAUCCUUCUGAGGAGGUAAUUAUUCCAUUGUGAAAAUGCCCCGGGAUAUUUUUAGUGGCCAAACCCCCUGUUUCCUGACAGAAACAUAAAAUAAUGAAGCAAGCUUCACAAGGAGAGACGCCUCAGACACCUGUAUUAGCUGGUGCUUUGCAGUCACGUCAGCGUUUAAUUCACUGUAUGCAUCCCUGUAUGGCAGAUUCCACACCUGCGUUUGGGGCACUGAGCAGUCUGCCAACCUCUGCCUCGCACAAAACCCUCUCCAUAAACAAAUCUGCAAAUCCUGCUGGAUCAAGAAGAAUUUCACGGGAAUAUAGAACUGCCUGCAACAAGAGGGACACCCUUGCCACACACACCGAGGUUAUCAAGGGAAACUUUUCUUAACAGGAGUCUCACAACCAGCGUAAAAGCCUGGAUUUUUGGAACAAAAAAUUUAAAAUUCGUUGUUAAAUGUUUUGCAACGUGUUUUGCAGGGGAUGUACCCAUGUUUCAUGUCCUGCGGGUCUGGCUCUCUCCUGGUUACCUCCAGCCCCAGUCCCAUGUAAUUUAUGUCCUGAAUGAGACGAUUCAAUUAGUCAAUAAUAAAAUAAGCAAGGACAUCGUGUGCAUUGUAAAAAUAUAAUUUAGUGGGAAACAAGCUGAGAUGGAAAAAAUAUCAGGGUACACUCCAUAUGAUUAAUGAAUGAGGAAUGUAUAUUUAUAGUUUUUAUUGUGUCCUUUCUAAGGACUGGAUGUGGUAGUAGGGCUGGAACGGGCUGGUAACGAUGCGGCAUUCCAGUGAUUUGGAUUUGAAUGGCAAAUGCUGUAUAAAACUAAUUACCCCCAGGAGGAUGAAAAUACAUCGCAUUUGCCUUUUCGGAGCAUGUCUGGCCUUUUCUUCACGUUAUUUAUCUUUGAGAAGCAUGUUUACUGGGAGAGGCGGCAUCCCGAACAGAGCAGCAGAGUAGCUCCCAAAGAAAACAAGUUUCCGCAAGUUAUUUUUCUGCAUUUAGCUCGAUUUCGGGUUUCUGGGCGGC